ACGCACAUAUCUUUCGGGGUGUGUGAGUGGCAGACGGGUGCGUAACACGUAGGUGACCUGCCUUCAAGUGGGGAAUAACUGUCCUAACGGAUGGCUAAUACCGCAUAGGUUCCCGGCGUCAAGUCGGGAGUAAAGCAGCAAUGCGCUUGGAGAGGGGCCUGCGGCGGAUUAGCUGGUUGGUGGGGUAACGGCCUACCAAGGCGAUGAUCCGUAGGGGGCGUGAGAGCGUGGCCCCCCACACUGGCACUGAGAUACGGGCCAGACUCCUACGGGAGGCAGCAGUGAGGAAUAUUGCACAAUGGGGGAAACCCUGAUGCAGCAACGCCGCGUGCGGGACGAAGGCCUUCGGGUCGUAAACCGCUUUUCUGGGGAAAGAGCACUGACGGUACCUCAGGAAUAAGUCUCGGCUAACUACGUGCCAGCAGCCGCGGUAAAACGUAGGAGGCGAGCGUUAUCCGGAUUUACUGGGCGUAAAGCGGACGCAGGCGGCUCUGUGAGUCGGACGUGAAAGCUCCCGGCUUAACCGGGAG
rnacentral:rRNA from 1 species